GUGCUCUGCAUUAAUGGCAGCAGAGGGGGAGAAGACAGGAGCGGAGGUGGCGACAAGAGAGGUGAGCCUCCAAGACGAGUUGAGGUUGAAUAAAUGCUGAAGGCAGAAGCAAAGUGUGAACAGGCAACAUGUAAAGUGAGGAAUCCAACAAAUCCAUGCCAAGUGCAAGUGGGUAAACAGAAGCUGGCUGGCUCACUAAGAAGUACAGAAAGCAGGAAUAUUCCACAUCUCAUAGCACAGUGAGGAGGAAGAGGGUGAAGGAUGCUCCAGGAUACACUGAUGGAGUAGAAAGUCAUUUUGCCUAGUACAGAAAGAUUUGUGACAUUUUCAGAUGGGGUGUUUAGUUUGCGGUUUUCAACUUUUUGUUAACUCACUCUUUAUGGGGAAUUCUGUCGUCAGCCUGUACUUUCCCCACACUUGAGUUAUCACAAUGAUUAAUUGACUUUUUCUGACUUAAAAACAACGGAACAGUUGCAUGAC